rnacentral:lncRNA from 1 species
AGUAGUUGACAAGACUCUAUAGUAACUUGAGCAUUUGCCUCAUGGACUUGAGAAAUGUUCACUUCAAGACUCUAUGAUACACUUGCUUGUUAUAUGGUUUGAGCUCAUGAUUGCCCCAAAAACAGGUGUUGGUGGAGCGGGUCUUGAUGGCAACGCAGAAAUGAAGUCUACCAAAUCAUUCAGAUUCUUAUGUGAAGUACCAUCAAUCUGCAUUGCAGCAACUAUGUUUUGUUUCAUGUCUACUACUCUUUUCUUCACAUCUUUGCCUUCUUCACUUAACAUGAGUUUUCUUAUUGUUUUCUCUAUUACCGUUCUCUCCAUAACCUCCAAUUCGAACCCAACCUUGUAUAUUUGGCUCAGAUACCUUGCGUUCACCGGUUGGUCUGCUAGAAAUGGCCUGCAUAUCAAAGGGACUUCCUCCAAAAUACUUUCAAGUGUAGAAUUCCAACCACAAUGAGUGAAAAAGCCUGCUACCGCGGGAUGUGCAAGCACCUGUUUUUGUGGUGCCCAUUUCACUAUCCGUCCUCUUUCUGCUACCAUUUCCUCAAAACCAUCAGGGAGUGCCUCAGCACAUUGAAAACCAUAGACAGAGCCCGGUCGAAUAACCCACAAGAAGGGUUGAUCACUAUUAGCUAAUCCCCAAGCAGUCUCAAUUAGCUCUUUGUCAUCAAUCCUCAUUAGGCUACCUAAGCUGACAUAGAGAACAGAGUUAGGAGCUUGUCUGUCGAGCCACUCGAUGCAGCUGUUGUCUUCUUCUAGUAUGCUAGUCGAUGAGGCCAUAGGCACCAUUUUGUGAAAAGGUCCUAUUGGAAAGAAGGGCACCUUGUAAUGUUCCUGAAGGCGUAACAACAAUGAAUUCUCCAAGUCUUGCAUCGUGUUCCAAAUAGUCGCAACAGAUGAUCCUAUAUCACUCAUUGAUCUGCUGAAGUCUAGUAUCGGUGCUUGAACUGUAUUAUUAACGACAUUAAUUGGUAUAUCCUUAAACCUCAAGGGAUGAAGCUCUGGUAACGGAUCCAGCAGUUGAGAAUCUGGACUUGAAAGUGAGUAAUCAAUGCAGACUUAGCAAAAGAUACAACAUAAUGUAAGAAAAAGAUUAUAGUCUAUUGACCAUCUAUUUUUAGUAAAAUCGAAUGGAAGGAGUACUUUUCAUUUCCUUUUUUAUUCUAUAAUCAUCGGUGCUUGAAAUGAAUGUAAAUAGGGAACAUGGUUAGUGAGAUUUACAUAGCCAACCCCAACUUGUUUGGGGCUGACGCGUAGUUAUUGCUAUAUUAUUGAAUUUGAAAUGAUUUUUCAGUUAAAUGUUGAAGUAAUUGUUCUCAUACCUUUAAAAGGAAAAUAUUUUUCUGGUUGCUGUAAAAUGGUGAUCAUAGAGUCCAAAUACGCAGCACUGUAAGUGCGCAGGACAAUGCUGGGAAGUCUGAGCUGAGUAGCUACAUCAUCGACGAAGAACAUGAUGCUGUCAUAAAUGAUACAAGCGAGCUGAUCACCUUCCUCUUCCAUCAUCCUAACAAGGUAGUUUCUCAGGGGCGCCUUACAGCUCUCGUUCAUACGAUAUAUACUCUUUAAACCCGGGAAUGACAUGUCCAUUCCCUUUAAUCCGUCAUCCAUAGAAUGGAAGACGAAUUCAGGAUGAUUGGAAUAAUUAGGAGCAUUGUGUUGAGUAUGUGCUACUAUAACAGAAAAGCCUUGUGAAUGAAGGAUACUUCCAAGCUGCAGCAUUGGUGUUAAAUGCCCCUGGAGUAGGAAUGGCACUAGUACUACACUCUGUUUUCUUUCUACUUUCAUCUUUGUUUUCUUGGAAUUUCUCUUCUAUUCAAAAGUUUAGUAGUACGAGGUACUAGUUUUCUUGAAGGAAGUUUAUGUAUAGCUCUCAAAUUUUGGGACUCUUGACCAGCAAGGGCGGAUCUAGCAUUAAAGUUUUGGGUUAAUGUUAAUCAAGUAGCUUUAGCUCAGAUCUCGUAUUUUUACUAAAAAUCUAUCAAUAUUAAUUGUACCUUUUGUUUUUAUUUGUUAUAAAUUGUUUUGACCUGCUACUUGAUACUCCUUGGGAGAUUUUAUUUGUUCACUUUUGAAUUGACAUACCUAUUAAGAAAAUAAUUAUUGAUAUAGUAAGUUUACUAUUUUACUUCUAUUAAUUAUGAAGUGGAUGAAUUAAAGAUUUAACAUUUUCAAGAAGUUCUACUUUUUUCAAAGUGAUUAAUUGAGAAUAUAAUAGAAUUUUUGUUUAUCCUUUCUUGAUUUGUCAAAAUAAAUAAGUAAUUAAAAAUAACUAAUAAAAUAAAAUAAAUAAGUAAUUAGAAACAGAAAAGAAAGUAUUGAAUGAGGGGUAAUGAAUUGGAACAACUCACCAUUCUCAAUCCCAAAAAAAUGAGUAACGAGAUCCACAAGUAAGCCCUCAAUCUUGGAAUUGGUGCUGUUUGUCUUUAUAUAUGUAAAGUCUUCUAGUCCAAUAUAAUUAAGUAUUCACGGUGAGACGCUCAUAUCAAGAAAAAUUGAUGUGCAUGUUUUUAAAAUGUUUUUUUAUUCUAAUAAUUUUGUUGGUUAAUUACUUGAAUUUUUAGUUAUAUGAAGGUUCGAUUUUUCUAUCUUUUAAUUUAUUUAUAUAUAAUAUAUGUUGAACCUUCUUGGUGAAAUUAUGUCUAGGCUACUAUAUGUAUUAGCUGAUAUUAUGAUUAUCUUCUAUAAUUUUUCUCUUCCCUAGAUUGAAUUGUGAAGGAUUUAUACUCGGAGAUUUAUACGAAAUAAUACAUACCUUUUUCUCUAUAAUUGAGUGUGUUAUCACCACCAAUUUCCUUAGCAUUUUCUUACACGAUCACUAUGGAGACUAUGAAGUCUUGUUAAGUCCUUACUAGGACAAUGUUGAGACUUGUAACUUUUAUUCAUUUAAGAGUUACAUAACCCCUUAUCUCAUAAUUUCCACUCCAUUCAUGAAUACCAUAACUCUUUCUCUUUUACCAAUAAAGAUUGUGGUGGAGUGGUAAGUGCCUAACUUUUAAUUAGAGAUUAAGGGUUCGAGUUAAUUAGAGAUUAAGGGUGGAGUGUAUAUGAUUUGUUGGUAUACGAAGAAAAAUUGGUAGAUAUGGAGCACAUUGAUGCCAAUAGGGUUGAAAUUUCACUGCUGGAUAUUGAUCCUACUUUAGUCCCAGGUUCUUUCUUAGAGUAGCCUAAUGGGAUUGAAGUAUUUAACCCUGAAUCAUUCAGGUCUUCUUUAAAUGCGACUAGCCUGACUACUAACUUAGAAGACCGAGAAAUCAUUAAAAGAAAAAAAAAAAAGUGCCGUGAUUUGAACUUUAAACUAACCGAACACCAAGAAAUAAGUAAGAAAACCAUUUAUUUUCCACAAAAAUGAUUUCUAGGAAAAUAUAUUCAUUCAUACCAAACACAACCAUAGCUCCCUCCAUAUUAUAUUUUUAACAUAGGGAUAACAAAGAGUAAAUAUAUCUCAGUUCUAACAACUAGCAAACAAUAUGUCAAAGUUCCCAACUUAUUAAACAAAUCAACAGACUAAAAUAAGAAAGUUUUAUGAUUAUAGCAGGCUGCUAUAUUGCUUCAGCAUUUACCCCACGGACUUCAGAAAAAUUCACUAAUCACCAAUUUUGAUUUUUAUUCCAACAGUUACUCACUUAUAAUGUCCAUAUAAAUAUCGAAUGUCAAAUGAGUUGAAAACAAAAUCAAUAAAUACUCUUGGGUCAAGUUGGGACCCGGGAUUGGGAUCGAGAUUUGAGAUUUGGGUCAGGAGUCGGGGUUGAGGUCUCUGGAUGGAGUCAUGGAUCUGGGUUGAGGUUAGGUCCAGAGUUAACUUCGGGUUGCAGUUCGUGGCAUGGGGUCAGUUGUCAGGUCCUAGGUUAAGGUUAGGUCAGGGUUUGGUCGAGGAUCAAGUUUUGAGUCGGUGUUGAGGUCAGGGUUUUGGUUUAGGUCAGUGUUGGGGUGAGGUCGGGUCGAGUCAAGUCCGGGUCUAUAUAUGUUAUAGGGUGGUUCCAGGUCUAGGUGUACAAAGAUACUCGUGGGACAAUAAUAUUCUUUACUAAUCAAACACCAGAAAAUAAGUAAGCAAAUCAUUUAUUUUCCACGAAAAUAUUGUCCUACCAACUAGGAAACAAUAUGUCAAAGUUCCCAACUUAUAAAAUUAAUCAACAAACUAAAUUAAACUGCUUCAGCAUUAAGUAAAAGUUCACUUCUUAUCUUAUUCUUCGUUUUGUGAUUAAGGACUUGUUGUCUUGCCAAGCUAACAGGCCACAAAUAUAUGGUUUGAGCUCAAAAAUUACUUCCAGACUCUAUGAUACACUUGCUUGUUAUAUGGUUUGAGCUCAUGAUUGCCCCAAAAACAGGUGUUGGUGGAGCGGGUCUUGAUGGCAACGCAGAAAUGAAGUCUACCAAAUCAUUCAGAUUCUUAUGUGAAGUACCAUCAAUCUGCAUAGCAGCAACUAUGUUUUGUUUCAUGUCUACUACUCUUUUCUUCACAUCUUUGCCUUCUUCACUUAACA